rnacentral:rRNA from 1 species
UACGGAGGGUGCAAGCGUUAUCCGGAUUCACUGGGUUUAAAGGGAGCGUAGGUGGGCUGGUAAGUCAGUGGUGAAAUCUCCGGGCUUAACUCGGAAACUGCCGUUGAUACUAUCAGUCUUGAAUAUUGUGGAGGUAAGCGGAAUAUGUCAUGUAGCGGUGAAAUGCUUAGAUAUGACAUAGAACACCGAUAGCGAAGGCAGCUUGCUACACAAUUAUUGACACUGAGGCUCGAAAGCGUGGGGGAUCAAACAGG